rnacentral:rRNA from 1 species
AUUGAACGCUGGCGGAAUGCUUUACACAUGCAAGUCGAGCGGCAGCGCGGGGGCAACCCUGGCGGCGAGCGGCGAACGGGUGAGUAACAUAUCGGAACGUACCCAGUCGUGGGGGAUAACUAUCCGAAAGGAUAGCUAAUACCGCAUACGUCCUGAGGGAGAAAGCGGGGGAUCGCAAGACCUCGCGCGAUUGGAGCGGCCGAUAUCGGAUUAGCUAGUUGGUGGGGUAAAGGCUCACCAAGGCGACGAUCCGUAGCGGGUCUGAGAGGACGACCCGCCACACUGGAACUGAGACACGGUCCAGACUCCUACGGGAGGCAGCAGUGGGGAAUUUUGGACAAUGGGGGCAACCCUGAUCCAGCCAUUCCGCGUGAGUGAAGAAGGCCUCGGUUGUAAGACGUCUUCGGUCCGGAACGGAAAGUACGACACGGUUAAGU